rnacentral:lncRNA from 1 species
CACCCAAAAAAAACAACUAAAUUGCUGAUAACUAUUAUUCUAUUAACGCUAUAAAAUAAAAUUUUAAUAAAAUAAUAAUAAUCAGUGUCAGCACUCAGCAGAGCACACCGGAUCCACAGAGUGCUGCACCUGCAAUGGUUGAAUGGAAUCUCUUUCCCUCUCUAAACUUAUUAAAUUUUUUCUCUCUCGUAGUUUGAGCUAGCUCUGCUCAAGAGGGAGAAGAACUCAAGAAAAAAGACCCAUCACUCCAAUUCAAUACUACUCCACUAAUCAAGAACCACUAACAGAAUUAACCCAGAAACAUAAAUUUAUAAAAAAAAACAGAGAAAUUAAUAACACCAUCAUUCCUCAAGUAGUCAUCAGUAAUAAUAUUGAUAUUUCUCCCUCCUCAAAUCCUAUACUCAGUAACAUUAAGAAUCCUUUUCCCCCAAAAAAUCUACCAAUAAAAGAAGGAAAAGUAAAAAAAAAGAAAAUUAUAUAUACAUGAUGUUCAUCCGUGUGCUCUGUUUAUAUCUCAAAGAAGAAAAAAGCAGAGGAAAUUCAUGGAGGGUUGUUUUAGAGAGAGAAAAAGCACUCUCUCUCUCUAACCCUUUUGAAUUAAAUCUGUAGUAUUUUCAUCAAGAAUCAGAGUAAUCUCUCCAGCAGAUGAGCAUGGUGACACAGCGCCUCAUGAUGUAAAAUCUAGCUCUUUGUUCCUUCACAAGACUAGCACACUUUCUAGUAAAAGCACACCUCCUGUGAUUUGAUGAUUUUGAUGAAGAAGAUGAAUUUCUCACCAGGGAUGAAGAUGAAGAGCUUCUUCUCGAUCCUUCUUUCUUGGACAAUUUCCAUUUCUCAUCUAAAUAAAACUGCUGGGGUUGCGAUGAAGUUGUAGUUGAACCAGUACUAACUGUAUCAGCCAUUGAUACAGAGUACUUCUAAGAAAUGAAACUCAAACCUCCUCUGGGCUUUCUUUUCGGGACAACAAAAAGAAGAGAGAGAAAACAAUGGAGUAAAUCACAGUUUUUUCGUUGAAGAUGAUGAGAGAGGGAGGAGUGGGAUCAAUAUUUAUAAGGAGAAGACAGAAAAUAAAAAUAAAUAAAUAAAUAAAAGGAAGCAGAUGGGUGUGGCAGUGGUUAUCACCUGGGCCUUCU